AUUGAACGCUGGCUGCAGGCCUAACACAUGCAAGUCGAGCGAGCGUCUGCCGGGUGAGUAUUGUAUGGGGAUUUGCCCCAUAGAGGUGGAUAACUACUGAAAACGGUUGCUAAUACUGCAUACUAUCGGUUUACCCCUUAUGGGAUUAGCUAGUCGGUGGGGUAAAGGAUCACCUAUGCUACGAUCUCUAGCUGGUCUGAGAGGAUGAUCAGCGACACAGGGACUGAGACACGGACCAGAGUCCUACGGGAGGGAGCAGUGGGGAAUAUUGCAAAAUGGGCGAAAGUCUGAGGCAGCCAUGACGGGUGUAUGAAGAAGGCCUUAGGGUUGUAAAGUACUUUCAGCGGGAAGGCUUUACCCGCAAAGGAAGCACGGGCUAACUCCGUGCCAGCAGCCGCGGUAAUUC
rnacentral:rRNA from 1 species